rnacentral:pre_miRNA from 1 species
UUGACUAUUCAUCUUAUUCAAAAAAAUUUUGCGAUUGAUAUUUUUGUUUUUAUUAGAUGAUAAAUUAUGAAUAGUAUUUUACGUGUGACUAAUUUUUUUCUAAUUUUUUUAAAAAAAUUCAAAUAAGACGGAUAGUCGA